rnacentral:rRNA from 1 species
GCAGGCUGCAACCCGCCCGCAUGAAGUCGGAAUCGCUAGUAAUCGCGGGUCAGCAUACCGCGGUGAAUACGUUCCCGGGCCUUGUACACACCGCCCGUCACACCACGAAAGUUGGUAACACCCAAAGCCCGGUGGGGUAACCUUUUGGAGCCAGCCGUCUAAGGUGGGACAGAUGAUUGGGGUGAAGUCGUAACAAGGUACC